rnacentral:rRNA from 1 species
CAAUAGCGUAUAUUAAUGUUGUUGCAGUUAAAAAGCUCGUAGUUGGAUUUCUGGUGGGAGCGGUUGGUCUGCCCCGCGAGGGGUAGUUACUGAGCCGUAUCCGGCCCUUUUCGGGUUGACCGUGGCUGGCAUUAAUUUGUCGGUGCGGGAGGCCCGUCGUUUACUGUGAACAAAUUAGAGUGUUCAAAGCAGGGUGUUCUUGAAUACAUUAGCAUGGAAUAAUGAGAUAGGACUUUGGUGGUUCUCACUUUUUGUGGGAUAUUUUGUUGGUUUGCACGCCAAAGUAAUGAUUANUAGGAGCAGUUGGGGGUAUUCGUAUUCAAUUGUCAGAGGUGAAAUUCUUGGAUUUCUAGAAGACGAACUACUGCGAANGNAUUUACNAAGGAUGUUUNCAUUA